rnacentral:tRNA from 1 species
GCCCCGGUGGCGAAAUUGGUAGACGCACAGUACUUAAAAUCCUGGGAUACGUGCAUAACGUUCGUGCCGGUUCAAGUCCGGCCCGGGGCACCA